rnacentral:snoRNA from 1 species
AUGACCUUACUUGAACAAGAUCUUUUCUAUGGGCUCAUAACUCUGUAUCUUUGAUUUACAAGGAGGCAGGUGACCAGCUCUGGUGGAUGAAAUGCGAGUACAUAACCAGAUCAGUUGGUCAUUCAAGCAGUAGAGUAACGUCUCCAGAUGGAGUCCUGGCUGGGGUGGUCUGUCAGUUCUCUGACAUACU